rnacentral:lncRNA from 1 species
GGAUCUCCUCUCUCUCUCUCUCUCUCGACCCCGACUCAGCACCAGCACAGCCGCCACUACCCAUACACCUCUCUGUCAAUCCAUUUAUCCCAGAACCCAUCUCCUCUCCAUCUUCCCUUUCAGAUCAAUCCAUUCUUCUGGUGGCCGGCCUCGAUCCUAGGUUCAAGAAGUGAUGCUCUUGGGUCCUUACCGCACUGCAGCAUGAAGGAGAAGAUCGAGAUGUGCUCUGUUUUGUUCGACGUUCACCGAGCAGCGUGGCUGUAAGUUUAUUCUUGUUCAGCAAUCUAUUAGCUCAGAUUGAGCUAUUAUGAUUGUCGAAGGUAAAUUCUGAAUCCUAAGGUCUGGGCACUGCGAUUGUUCUUCUCGGUGCAGACUUGGAAUGGGUGGUGGACAUAUGCUUAUUUUGGCUCUAUUUUAUGUUGAUUGAUUAUGCUGGAAAAUGGAAUUGGCAUCAUGUUGAUUAGCUACCAAAUUAAGAAUUGAAAAACAUGGAAAUUGCGUUGGUGGUCAAGUGUCCAGAUUGUAUUGAAUCCUCGUAUGAACUAGUUUUGAAUAGUGCUUUUGAUAUAUGUUGAUUUACUAUGGUUGGAAUUGCAGAGGUGAUCGGGAUUGGGAGGGGGGAAGAGAGAUGGGGUGCUGAUAGAAUCACAGUGUGAG